rnacentral:miRNA from 1 species
UACAGUUUCGUUGGGCGGUUUC